UGGGGAAUCUUGGACAAUGGGGGCAACCCUGAUCCAGCCAUGCCGCGUGAGUGAUGAAGGCCCUAGGGUUGUAAAGCUCUUUCAACGGUGAAGAUAAUGACGGUAACCGUAGAAGAAGCCCCGGCUAACUUCGUGCCAGCAGCCGCGGUAAUACGGAGGGGGUUAGCGUUGUUCGGAAUUACUGGGCGUAAAGCGCACGUAGGCGGACCAGAAAGUUGGGGGUGAAAUCCCGGGGGCUCAACCCCGGAACUGCCUCCAAAACUAUUGGUCUAGAGUUCGAGAGAGGUGAGUGGAAUUCCAAGUGUAGAGGUGAAAUUCGUAGAUAUUUGGAGGAACACCAGUGGCGAAGGCGGCUCACUGGCUCGAUACUGACGCUGAGGUGCGAAAGUGUGGGGAGCAAACAGGAUUAGAUACCCUGGUAGUCCACACCGUAAAACGAUGAAUGCCAGUCGUCGGGUAGCAUGCUAUUCGGUGACACACCUAACGGAUUAAGCAUUCCGGCCU
rnacentral:rRNA from 1 species